GUGUCUUUUUAAAAAACUUUUCAUUUGGAGAUAAUUCGACUCACAUGCAGUUGUAAGAAGUAAUAUAGGAAGAUCCUGUAUGUGUUCACCCAGCUUCCCCCAGUGUGAACAAUAACAAAGUGAGUGGCACGUAUGUAUGACCCACCUAAAGAAAAAGAACACUACCAGAAUAUUACCAGUACCUUAGGAGCUCCCUGGGUGCACCACCAUCCAUCUCCCCUUCCUUUCCCACAGCUGUAACCAUUAUGGAAUUGAAAGACUACUCGGUAGGUGUCAGACUUCUCCGGAGGGAUCGAAUCAGCGCAUGUGCCCGGCGCGGGCUGCCCCAGGGCCACAGCUCCGCCGCGCCGGGUCUGUGCUUGGUCAGCUCGGCCGGCCCCCACCACACCUGCAAGCUGCAGCAGCUGCUCCCCUACAUAGAUAUUAUUAACAGUAUUUUCUCCCAUGAGGAAGAAGUCCAUAGAUAUUAAAUUUAUUAGUAUGUUUGAUAUUUCGUGUGGGUCAAACUGAAUUACAAUAAUUGUCAAUU